rnacentral:rRNA from 1 species
GAAUGGAAAUGAAAUGAAAGUGGCGAACGGGUGAGUAACACGUGAGCAACCUACCUUACACAGGGGGAUAGCCGUUGGAAACGACGAUUAAUACCGCAUGAGACCACAGAAUCGCAUGAUAUAGGGGUCAAAGAUUUAUCGGUGUAAGAAGGGCUCGCGUCUGAUUAGCUAGUUGGAAGGGUAAAGGCCUACCAAGGCGACGAUCAGUAGCCGGUCUGAGAGGAUGAACGGCCACAUUGGAACU